AACACUGAGCUGUCACUGUCUGACAAGCAGCACGGUCAUUACAUAUGCUGGACCGAAAACUUACAGCUGCUGCCCCCCCCCCCCCCCCCCCCAAUAACUGCUGGACAAGUCGAAACUUGGGCAGAUGAAGGGCAUCCCAUCCCUGGAAGUGUCCAAAAAAAGGGAUACAGCAACUUUAUCGAGGGGUAUAUUCAUGACAUUAAAGUCAGGAGGAGAGAGGAUGGGUGCACAGUGAAAGCUAGGGCAUUUCCAUCCAUGAGGAAGACACAGACACCCUACACAGUUCAGGUGGACCUUUCAGCUGGAAAUCCAGUUAUCGGCGAGGUGAUAUGCAACUGCAAAGCUGGCCUGGGCCGUUGUGCACAUGUUAUUGGCUUAUUGUACACAUUAGCACACUACCAGAAGUUGGGAUUGAAGUCUGUCCCCCCUGU